rnacentral:misc_RNA from 1 species
AGUGUUGGGAUUGAAUUGCUCUGCACCAAAGGCAAGAUUGCAAGGUCGGAUUCCACCAGCUCCAAUUGCUAUCAGUCCAAAUCCACACAGAAGAAAGGCAAAUUGCCAAAUUGUUGGACCUACACAUUGGCUGUUAUCUUUUCCUACACACUUUGGAGGAUGCAGGUUGGUUAUUGCUGCUGUCAAAGCUAGUGCUGACAUUCCCAGAAAUGAGGUAACAGAAGCAAAACCCAGAGUCUUG